rnacentral:rRNA from 1 species
CGUACACGGUGGAUGCCCUGGCAGUCAGAGGCGAUGAAGGACGUGCUAAUCUGCGAUAAGCGCCGGUAAGGUGAUAUGAACCGUUAUAACCGGCGAUUUCCGAAUGGGGAAACCCAGUGUGACUCGUCACACUAUCAUUAACUGAAUCCAUAGGUUAAUGAGGCGAACCGGGGGAACUGAAACAUCUAAGUACCCCGAGGAAAAGAAAUCAACCGAGAUUCCCCCAGUAGCGGCGAGCGAACGGGGAGGAGCCCAGAGCCUGAAUCAGCAUGUGUGUUAGUGGAAGCGUCUGGAAAGGCGCGCGAUACAGGGUGACAGCCCCGUACACAAAAGCGCAUGUGCUGUGAGCUCGAUGAGUAGGGCGGGACACGUGGUAUCCUGUCUGAAUAUGGGGGGACCAUCCUCCAAGGCUAAAUACUCCUGACUGACCGAUAGUGAACCAGUACCGUGAGGGAAAGGCGAAAAGAACCCCGGCGAGGGGAGUGAAAAAGAACCUGAAACCGUGUACGUACAAGCAGUGGGAGCACCCUUCGGGGUGUGACUGCGUACCUUUUGUAUAAUGGGUCAGCGACUUAUAUUCUGUAGCAAGGUUAACCGUAUAGGGGAGCCGUAGGGAAACCGAGUCUUAACCGGGCGUUAAGUUGCAGGGUAUAGACCCGAAACCCGGUGAUCUAGCCAUGGGCAGGUUGAAGGUUGGGUAACACUAACUGGAGGACCGAACCGACUAAUGUUGAAAAAUUAGCGGAUGACCUGUGGCUGGGGGUGAAAGGCCAAUCAAACCGGGAGAUAGCUGGUUCUCCCCGAAAGCUAUUUAGGUAGCGCCUCGUGAAUUCAUCUCCGGGGGUAGAGCACUGUUUCGGCUAGGGGGCCAUCCCGGCUUACCAACCCGAUGCAAACUGCGAAUACCGGAGAAUGUUAUCACGGGAGACACACGGCGGGUGCUAACGUCCGUCGUGAAGAGGGAAACAACCCAGACCGCCAGCUAAGGUCCCAAAGUCAUAGUUAAGUGGGAAACGAUGUGGGAAGGCCCAGACAGCCAGGAUGUUGGCUUAGAAGCAGCCAUCAUUUAAAGAAAGCGUAAUAGCUCACUGGUCGAGUCGGCCUGCGCGGAAGAUGUAACGGGGCUAAACUAUGCACCGAAGCUGCGGCAGCGACACUAUGUGUUGUUGGGUAGGGGAGCGUUCUGUAAGCCUGUGAAGGUGUGUCGUGAGGCAUGCUGGAGGUAUCAGAAGUGCGAAUGCUGACAUAAGUAACGAUAAAGCGGGUGAAAAGCCCGCUCGCCGGAAGACCAAGGGUUCCUGUCCAACGUUAAUCGGGGCAGGGUGAGUCGACCCCUAAGGCGAGGCCGAAAGGCGUAGUCGAUGGGAAACGGGUUAAUAUUCCCGUACUUGGUGUUACUGCGAAGGGGGGACGGAGAAGGCUAUGUUGGCCGGGCGACGGUUGUCCCGGUUUAAGCGUGUAGGUGUGUGUUCCAGGUAAAUCCGGUU